AGAAGGCUACAGCAGAUUGACAUCGAUAAAUAUUUAGUGCGGGUUAUGUAGAAGCCACCUUCUGGGAAUUGGAGGAGUGGCUUGGGGGAAGGACUUUUGGCAAAAAAGAAAAAAAGAAAGAGAAGAAAGAACGAGAGAAAGAAAGAAAGAAGAAAGAGAGAGAAAGAAAGAAAGAAAGAAAAGAAGGAAAGAGAAAGAAAGAAGGAAAGAAAGAUUUAAUUCCUUCUUAGUUGGAAUUGUUCACACUGAGGACUGAAUCUGUGAAAAGACACUCA
rnacentral:lncRNA from 13 species